UCUAACAUGUGCGCGAGUCAUUGGGACUUUUUUUUCAGGAAAGCCUAGAGGCGCAAUGAAAGUGAAGAUCGGCCUUUACGGCUCGAUCGAGGGAGGAUGGCUUGUUGUUUUACUGCGAGUCCGCACUCCCGGGGCGUCUCGCGCUCGCUUCGAGCGGAGGCGCACCCAGAGCGUACACGUUGGGACCCGAAAGAUGGUGAACUAUGCCUGGUCAGGACGAAGUCAGGGGAAACCCUGAUGGAGGUCCGUAGCGAUUCUGACGUGCAAAUCGAUCGUCGGAACUGGGUAUAGGGGCGAAAGACUAAUCGAACCAUCUAGUAGCUGGUUCCCUCCGAAGUUUCCCUCAGGAUAGCUGGCACUCGCUAGAACGAGUCUCAUCUGGUAAAGCGAAUGAUUAGAGGCCUUGGGGCCGAAACGACCUCAACCUAUUCUCAAACUUUAAAUGGGUGAGAUCUCUGGCUUGCUUGAAACUUGAAGCCACGAGAUAAACUUUGUAUCAUGGAUCAGAGUGCCAAGUGGGCCAAUUU
rnacentral:rRNA from 1 species